GUUUUUAUUAGGGAUUACCAGGACUAAGAGGAGAGCAAGGCCCUCGGGGCCCCACUGGGCCACCAGGCAACCCAGGAACACCUGGUAAAGAUGGUCAAGAUGGCAAACCUGGUCUUCCUGGGAAAACGGGGGAGGAUGGAGUGCCAGGUGAAGAUGGGAGAAAGGUCUGUGGCCGUUCAUCAGUUGAAAUAAUUGUCUUGACGGAAGAACACACGAAAAAUAGUCAUUUAAAAGGAACGCCUUACACAUUUGAUAUUUUUGGCCCAUCUUGAUUUUUAUUUGACGCUUGCUGAAAAUGGAUUGAAAAUUACUUCCAAAAAACAACUGUUUUUCAUUUAAGGAAUCCUUACUGUCUUGUCUGCUUGUUUCUUUUUACAGGGUGACAAAGGAGAACCUGGAGGAACAGGGCGACAUGUCAGUCAUGUUUUCUGUAUAUUUCUCCCCUGAUUGGUAGUGUCUAAACUGUCUUCUGAGCUCCUGACAUCUUUCAUUUUUUUAAAGCCUUAUUCCGUCUUAGCUUUCGUUUCUAUGGAUCACACAUAUUUUGUUUAUCAGCAGUAGUUUCCUCCAACAUUGAAGUCAAACUCUCACUUUCAGUUAAAUCAAUAGGCUUCUUGAAGCGGAUUCACUAGCUUCUAAUGAUGGAGCUUAGCCUUUAAGGGGAAGCCACUUCUAAGAGGAAUCCAGAGGAGCACCAAAUGUCAGAGUGCUGUUUUCAUGUGCAAAUUCCCAUUAAUUAUCCCUUGAACAUCAGUGGGGGGGGGUGGCAGCAGCCACCUGCUUUGAUUUUAUAGUUCUGCUUCCAUUACAGUGCAGAAGCAAAC
rnacentral:lncRNA from 1 species